rnacentral:rRNA from 1 species
GAUGAACGCUGGCGGCGUGCCUAAUACAUGCAAGUCGAGCGAACAGACGAGGUGCUUGCUCGUCUGACGUUAGCGGCGGACGGGUGAGUAACACGUGGAUAACCUACCUAUAAGACUGGGAUAACUUCGGGAAACCGGAGCUCAUACCGGAUAAUAUAUUGAACCGCAUGGUUCAAUAGUGAAAGACGGCUUUGCUGUCACUUAUAGAUGGAUCCGCGCCGCAUUAGCUAGUUGGUAAGGUAAAGGCUUACCAAGGCAACGAUGCGUAGCCGAUCUGAGAGGGUGAUCAGCCACACUGGAACUGAGACACGGUCCAGACUCCUACGGGAGGCAGCAGUAGGGAAUCUUCCGCAAUGGGCGAAAGCCUGACGGAGCAACGCCGCGUGAGUGAUGAAGGUCUUCGGAUCGUAAAACUCUGUUAUAAGGAAAGAACAGAUGUGUAAGUAACUAUGCGCGUCUUGACGGUACCUAAUCAGAAAGCCACGGCUAACUACGUG